rnacentral:miRNA from 1 species
UGAUGAUGAUGAUGAUGAUGAUGAUGAUGAUGAUAAACACGACCGAUAAACAGAUCAUCAUCACCAUCCUUCUCUCCACAA